GGGCUCACACAAGCGGUGGAGGAUGUGGCUUAAUUCGAGGCUACGCGAAGAACCUUAUCCUAGAUUUGACAUGCUUGAGAGUCUCUAUGAAAGUAGAGAGUGCCCUUCGGGGAGCUCUUGCACAGGUGCUGCAUGGCUGUCGUCAGCUCGUGUCGUGAGAUGUCGGGUUAAGUCCCUUAACGAGCGAAACCCUUAUCUCUAGUUGCCAGCGGGUAAUGCCGGGGACUCUAGAGAGACUGCCGGUGUCAAACCGGAGGAAGGUGGGGAUGACGUCAAGUCCUCAUGGCCUUUAUGUCUAGGGCUGCACACGUCCUACAAUGGUACGGACAAACGGACGCAAUACCGCGAGGUGGAGGAAAUCUGCAAAACUGGGCCCAGUUCGGAUUGGAGGCUGCAACUCGCCUCCAUGAAGUUGGAAUCGCUAGUAA
rnacentral:rRNA from 1 species